rnacentral:lncRNA from 1 species
UCGUCGUGUCAUCGUCUCUGAGGAAAUGCAGAUAGGGAGCUAGACGUUACCUUGUAAAUGUGCCUUCGUGCGAAUGUGGCUCGGCCUGCGACAUCCUACGCCAGAGCCCACCUGCAAUGUUACACUUUUUUCACCGGUUAAGAUUACGCAGUGAAAACUUAAUUCUCUGUUAUAUGUGUGCUUGCACUGAACAGCUUUGUUAUAAACCAAAAUGACCGAGGGGAAGAGCCAACAAAUCGCCUAUUACUAACGUCAGCAGGAGCAGGAGCAAUCCAGCGGUGACUAAAUUUCAGUCGCAUCAGUCGAUAAUGUUAAAAACUUUUUGAGUUCUGGAGCCCCAGCCGUGUGACCAUUUGCGUGCAUCCGCAACGCGGCAUUACACGUCAGACCUCUUCCAGGCAGCGGUAUUCAUAACAAGACCUCUAAUUAUUUCCAGACAAACUCCAUCAAUUAAAGCUUAAUUAUGCUGGUAUGCAAGCAUUAACAUGGCC